rnacentral:lncRNA from 1 species
CUAGCAUUGCUCGUUUGCAUAUAGCCGCGUACUUGUUCUUCCAAGUUACAAAUAAGUUUCAACUAUGAGCCACAACUGUUUUAUCGGGCUAACAAAAAUGGGCCAUUGGUUACUAAUAAUGGGCUUUCAAUUUAAAAUACAACAAUAAAAACAAAACAAAAAGAUACUCGAGCCUGGUUUGUCGGCGUUAUUUGGAAAUUUCCUCAGACGCUCGAGCCUCCAACGCGAACCACGAGCAACGCCGACGAACCACGAACCACGAACCAAGAACGAAGUCAACACACGAACGGUACAAAUUCUCAUCCCUUUCCUCUUCUGUCUGCCCCCUCUGAUUUUGGUUCAAUUUGUGAUGGAUUUGGGGUUCAAUUUUGUCUGGGUUUGGGUUCAUCUCUCAGAUAAAAGGUUAGGGUAUCCAUGAGUGUUCAGCUUUGAAUGGGAUAGGGUUUCUCUCUCUAAUAUACUGCAUCAGCAUGUUACUGAUACUGAGCUUUUGUAUUUUAUGUCGAUUUCUUCGAGUCAUUCAUUCUGUAUUUCUUCAAAGUAUUAUUUUCUAUUUUCUUUUUGCCAAAAAAGUAUUAUUUUCUAUUGGAUUAAAGCCUGUGGAAUGCAUGAUUGACAAUUGUUGGUAAGUCCUACAGGGUUUCUAUUUGGUCUCUACAAAGAGUAUGCUGCUCCUUAUUAAACCAAAGGUAUGUGUGAUAUAUAUGCAGCCUCCUGUCCUAUUCUAGAAUUUAAUAUGUAGUGGUUCUGGCAAAACAGUGUUUUAUGGAUAAGUAUAAGUUUUAUGUAUUGGGAUCUUUACUGAUGAUGCAAGAAUGCCAUGUCAUCGCAGGAUAAGAACAGUGAUUCUUGCAAAUAACAUUUUCUGUCAGAUAUGGUUCAUAGAAUAAGAACACGAUAACAACAGUGUUACUUUUUAGUCAUAAUAGAAAUAUAGAAGAAUCAUAGGAGCACUAUUAUAGAUACACGUGUCCUUAUAAAUCAAAUGGAAGCCAUAGAGCUCUGGCUGUGCUUGUUUCAAAGGGAUUUGGAUGUUUGAAAAUAAAUGUUUGCUUCCCAAAUGAGUAUGAAUAUGAGGGCUUUCAUGAAUUAGAAAACUAUUUUAUAGCAAACACAAGAAGAACAUUUUUUCUCCCACGUGGGUUUUUAUAUUUCUGGAACCUCAUCCACGUUUAACAUUCAACAACGUUUAAAACGCCACUGCAUGAAAUGAAACAUGGUCACUUUCAUUAAAUCUUUGUUUCCAUCUAGCUGGCUAUAAAUGUCCUUCCUCCGCAAACCCUCCAAGAUUCUUCAUCAAUAUUAACAUGACAAAUUUUACAGACAAGCCAUCUUCCUCUUCAAAUCAAGUUUCAGCUCGAAUCAAGUAUACGCAUGAUCAUAUAUACGUAUUCAGUAAGAUCAGUUUGUUUUAUGAUUUAGAGGUUGAAAUGAAAUAUAAUUUCGUGUUUCUAAACAUAAAUCCCUAUUUGGGAGCUUUUGUUUUCACACACAAUAUAGUUUACUAUUUAGGUAAAUAGGAAUUCAAUUUCAGCUAAUUAGGAUAAAGCCAAAAGCCAAAAUAUAGUACUUGCUUUUACCAUAAUAUAAUUAAAGAACAUUAAAAUUACAACAUAUGCCAUUACGCCAUUAUUUUUAAAUUUCAAUAUUUAGUUUCAAAUUUACAAAAUAUGCCAUUAUGCCAUUCGCUCUAGUAUUCGUCUUCACCUCGAGAAACCGCCUUCCACAUUUUCACACUAUUCCCAAAAACUCAGAGACUGCACGGCGAUGAUUGUUCACGGUAAACCACGAUCAACGACGACCACCAAGGAUCGAAGUCGAUUCUCACUCUCUUGGAAAAAAAAACCGUAAGAAAAUGAACGCUCUAACACAAAUUUGCUUUCGAUUUUAGGGAUUAAGGAUUUUAGACAUUUUAGCAACUGUUCGUUAUGCAUGCUUCCUUUGGAAAAAUGGAUGACUCUUUGGAUUCACAACUACUCUUGGUUUAGGUUUUGCCUUCGUUUAUAGGGAUUAAGGAUUUUAGAAAUUUUAUCUACUAUUCAUUCUUUAUUCUGUAAUGUAGUUUAGGUUUUGGGUUUAGUUUUGGUUUCAAAACCUCUAAAAACCAAAAAAUCACCAAAGAAAGAGAAAGAGCAUCAAAUAUAUAUGUUUUCUGAACUAAAGAAAACGGAAAUUGCACAGCAGUUUCCGGUUUAGUUUGUAGUUCUUGUUUUGACUAUUCUGAUCUUUCCAUUUCAUGUCAAGUUGCUCAUAUUAUAUUUCUAUUAUGUUUGAUGUUUUGCGUUUUGGAUUGCUCCUUUUAAAAGAGGAAGAGCAUCAAAUAUUUCUAUUUUAUGCGUUGCAAAAAACGGAAACUGCAUUGCAGUUUGCGUUAAUGCAAUGCAAUGAACCAUAAACUGCAUUGGAGUUUCUUUUUUUUAUUUUAUGCUAAACUAUUUAUACUUAUUCCUUAUAGUUUAUCUCUACUUGUCCUAAUAGUGUUUUCAUCCAUUGUUGUUUCAGAUCACAAAUGGCACAAGAAAUGUCACCACAAAAGAAUGAGGCUCAAAACCAACGAAAGCCAAUAAUCAAAAUAAUGGCUCAAAAGAGAAAAUCAAAGGCAAACUAUAAUAGGAAAGCAAAGCACCCGGCUACAUCCAGUUUUGGUGCAACGUCUAUGCUUUCAAUAGCAUCAUUACAGACAUUAAAGACAAGCUAACUGCUCAAGAAAACGCCUUUCUGGAACUUGAUUGAGCUGUUUUACAACAAAAGAGUUGACAUGAAUAAGUCGGACCUCGACUUAGUAAAGUUGGUCAAGAAGUUUGAUCCAGAUACAAAGUCCUUCAAUUUUGGCACCAAAUCACAGCCAAUGCAGUGACUGAGAUUCUAGGACUUCCAAACGAAGGAAGCUCUGUCGAACUUGGCAAUGAUGGAUACACUGCUACCUUCAGAACAAGACACUUUGGAGGAAAGUCAAAACCAUCAAAAGGCAUGGUAGAAGAAGAAUUACAAAAGACAAUUGUCUUAGCAAACCAACCGAAGAAAGAAAAGGCCAAGGUAAAGCAAAAUAAGAAAAUGAACAGAGGAAAAGCAAAAUAAGAAGCUGAAGAAGAAGAAGAAGAAUGGGAAGACAAACAGGAAAAUGAGGUUGUUGACUACGACAAGGAUGUGGUCAGCCUAAUCUUGAUUCUGCUCUGCAUGACAUUCCUCUUUGCCAACUCAUCAUCCACUUUGCACUGGAAAAUUGUUGAG